rnacentral:rRNA from 1 species
UACGUAGGGUGCGAGCGUUGUCCGGAAUUAUUGGGCGUAAAGAGCUUGUAGGCGGUCUGUUGCGUCGGCUGUGAAAACCCGGGGCUCAACCCCGGGCCUGCAGCCGAUACGGGCAGACUAGAGUUCGGCAGGGGAGACUGGAAUUCCUGGUGUAGCGGUGAAAUGCGCAGAUAUCAGGAGGAACACCGGUGGCGAAGGCGGGUCUCUGGGCCGAUACUGACGCUGAGGAGCGAAAGCGUGGGGAGCGAACAGG